rnacentral:misc_RNA from 1 species
GAUGUGCGCAAGGAAUUCAUCCACGCCCUCGGCCAGGAACGCGCGGACGAGGAAGUGAGGGAUCGGCGUCUCAAACAAAACCGAUUGCUUCGCCUGCUCGACGGUCGUCCAUCGGCUCUGGUCCCACACCGUCAGCUCGGUCUUUGCAUCCUCUUCUAGGUGCAGCUCGACCGGGCGCUCUUCCUCGUAUGUCCCGCCAUAGCCAUCGUCGUAGACCCGGUCCUCCCAGCUCAACGUGUCGGGGGACGGCGGCGAACUGGGACGAACGAAGAUGUC